rnacentral:rRNA from 1 species
AGAGUUUGAUCCUGGCUCAGAACGAACGCUGGCGGCAGGCCUAACACAUGCAAGUCGAGCGCGCCCUUCGGGGUGAGCGGCGGACGGGUUAGUAACGCGUGGGAACGUGCCCAGAUCUAAGGAAUAGCCACUGGAAACGGUGAGUAAUACCUUAUACGCCCUUCGGGGGAAAGAUUUAUCGGAUUUGGAUCGGCCCGCGUUAGAUUAGGUAGUUGGUGGGGUAAUGGCCUACCAAGCCUACGAUCUAUAGCUGGUUUUAGAGGAUGAUCAGCAACACUGGGACUGAGACACGGCCCAGACUCCUACGGGAGGCAGCAGUGGGGAAUCUUGGACAAUGGGGGCAACCCUGAUCUAGCCAUGCCGCGUGAGUGAUGAAGGCCUUAGGGUCGUAAAGCUCUUUCGCCUGUGAUGAUAAUGACAGUAGCAGGUAAAGAAACCCCGGCUAACUCCGUGCCAGCAGCCGCGGUAAUACGGAGGGGGUUAGCGUUGUUCGGAAUUACUGGGCGUAAAGCGCGCGUAGGCGGAUUAGAAAGUUGGGGGUGAAAUCCCGGGGCUCAACCCCGGAACUGCCUCCAAAACUGCUAGUCUAGAGUUCGAGAGAGGUGAGUGGAAUUCCGAGUGUAGAGGUGAAAUUCGUAGAUAUUCGGAGGAACACCAGUGGCGAAGGCGGCUCACUGGCUCGAUACUGACGCUGAGGUGCGAAAGUGUGGGGAGCAAACAGGAUUAGAUACCCUGGUAGUCCACACCGUAAACGAUGAAUGCCAGUCGUCGGGUAGUAUACUAUUCGGUGACACACCUAACGGAUUAAGCAUUCCGCCUGGGGAGUACGGUCGCAAGAUUAAAACUCAAAGGAAUUGACGG